AACAGAUUAAACACUAUCAAAUUUCGUGGUCCAGGCCGCAGAAGUAGUCGAUGUUGAAUGGACAAUCUUCGCGUUUGUGAAAUACCAGUUCACAUGUACAGCUGCAAUCGUCACACGGAGGGAGAUAUACCGUUGAGAUAGAAGAGAUGGUGGUGGUGCGUCGGUGGUGGUAGGGGCUGGGUUUGGGGUUGCCCGUCGGUGGUGGUAGGGGUGAGUUUGGGGUUGCUCGACGGUGGUGUUGUGACAAGAGGAGAGUGUGAGAUUGAGGAGAGAGGGGAGAGGAGAUAGUGGUGGUGCGUCGUUGGUGGUGGGGGAGUCUGAGGAGGCCGUCGGUGGUAGUGCGUCGAGAGAGAAGAAAG